UCUACGGGAGGCAGCAGUAGGGAAUCUUCCGCAAUGGACGAAAGUCUGACGGAGCAACGCCGCGUGAGUGAUGAAGGUUUUCGGAUCGUAAAACUCUGUUGUUAGGGAAGAACAAGUACCGUUCGAAUAGGGCGGCACCUUGACGGUACCUAACCAGAAAGCCACGGCUAACUACGUGCCAGCAGCCGCGGUAAUA
rnacentral:rRNA from 1 species